rnacentral:rRNA from 1 species
GAUGAACGCUGGCGGCGUGCCUAAUACAUGCAAGUCGAGCGCGAGAGUGAGGAGCUUGCUCCUCAUGAUCGAGCGGCGGACGGGUGAGUAACACGUAGGCAACCUACCCUUGAGAUUGGGAUAACUACCGGAAACGGUAGAUAAUACCGGAUAGGACUUUUCCACAUAAGUGGAAUGGUUAAAAGGCGGAUUUAUCUGCCGCCCAUGGAUGGGCCUGGGGUGCAUUAGCGAGUUGGUGAGGUAGUGGCUCCCCAAGGCGACGAUGCAUAGCCGACCUGAGGGUGAUCGGCCACACUGGGACUGAGACACGGCCCAGACUCCUACGGGAGGCAGCAGUAGGGAAUCUUCCGCAAUGGACGCAAGUCUGACGGAGCAACGCCGCGUGAGUGAUGAAGGGUUUCGGCUCGUAAAACUCUGUUGUUAAGGAAGAACACUUGAGGUAGUAACUGGCCUUGAGAUGACGGUACUUAACCAGAAAGCCACGGCUAACUACGUGCCAGCAGCCGCCGUAA